AGUUUGUUUUCGUCGUCCUCCAUCGCUCGAUUCAACAAUACAUUUUGGCACUUUUUACUCCCGGAUCAGACCGCAGAAAAAGCCUUGGACUUUCCUAUCGCCAACAUGCCUCUGUACUCGGAUAUCUCAGGCACGGAGACUGGGAAAUGCACAGACUGCACCAAACUGCAACAGACGGUGGCUUUAAUUGAAACGAGACUAGCAGCAUUAGAAAAAUGCAAAUGACUCCUACAGGAUACAGUGCCGAUGGGUGAGUUUGCUGAGCUCACUCAGAUACAGCAAGAUGAUCAAAGCUACACUGUAUCCUUCCCGAAGCUGGACAAGAGAGAGACAGUUCCAGCUGCGUCUCACUGGCACAGAGUCAGCGCUAAGCCAAAACAACAUACCAAAGUGAAUCAACAAGAUCACUCAACGCCAAAUGCUAAACUACCCAAAGCUAAAGUUACAUGUAUCAGACGGAUUAGCCCGUCACUGAAAUUAACCCUGCCACUGAAGAACCGGUUCCUGCCACUUCAAGAGUCCACGAACGAGCCUGCCACCCAUGCACCCCUGAGCCCCGAGAUGCGUCCGGACGGACAGUGCGGACAGAGACGGAACAUGAACCAGUCGCCAUGGAGGCGAGCUGCGCAUGCCUCGGCCACCUGUGCACCCCUGACCCCUGAAAUGUGUCCGGACAGACGGUACGGACAGACAUGGAACAACCAGUCGCCACGGAGGCGGGCUGCGCAUGUGUCUGCCACCGUCCAACAAGGGCCCAUCUCAGAGGAAGCAGAUGAACCAGACACUCUGAUUAUAGGAGACUCAACCAUCAAGGAUAUAACCGGUAAGAAGAUCAAAACAUGCAACUUCCCAUAUGGAAUGGUUAGUGAUAUCAACCAUAAACUAGCCAAAAUCAUAUUGGAAAACCCCAAAAUCUCACAGAUUAUUGUGCAUGCAGGAUUUAAUGAUAUUCAAAGAGAACAGUCAGAACUUCUGAAGAGGGUUUACACUGAUCUAUUGGAUACACUGGACAAAAUACACAUCAACUCAUUCAUCAGUGGACCCAUACCAGCAGUUGACAGGGGAAUAAACAGUUUCAGUCGUCUACUUGCACUGAAUACAUGGC
rnacentral:lncRNA from 1 species